AUAAGUACGUGCUGGCGAAUGGCAACAGAACUUUGAUUGCCCGCUUGGACAAUUCUGGGUAUUCUUUGCGUAAAUCACCCCAAAAAGCAAUAAGAGAAACUUGUUUACAUUUUUGGCUUAGUUGACUGUCAAGUUAUAAAUCGAUCAGAUUCUCAAAAUCUACAUCAGAAAAUUUGUCUGGUUUACCUUUUAUGAAUGGAUUUCGAACCAACUCAUUGUUUUCAUUCAAGAAUGGAAAAUACUGAUUAAUAGAUGUGAUUAAAUGGCAAAGAUGAUCUACAAUUUCAUUGCGAAUGUAAUCUUCAAGUUCAAUCUUUAAGAAAAUCCUUAAGUGUUGGCAAAGAGUUCAAAUUAUUUUGCUCAACAGAUGAGGUCCAAAACUGCAGCUUACGAG